UUUAUUUAUUUAUUCUAUUCAUCCAGGGAUAGUUUAAUGACCCAGGUGGUAGUCUGGCCUUUCUUCUGCACCAUGAACGGGAAGAAAACAAUGGAAAACCUGAUCACUUUCCUCUUCAGCCUUUGGAAAUAGUUGACAUGCGAGCCGGAAGCUUCUUUUAACCCGUCCGCUGCGAUUGACACGGAUUUUGCCUUCACUGGUAGCCUGGUAACAUACACUCCCAGGUCUUUCUCUGGCUCUGUGGUGGAUAGUGGAGUGUUUCCCAUGUGGUAUUGGUGUGCUGGAUAUCCCUUCACUGGUAGCCUGGUAACAUACACUCCCAGGUCUUUCUCUGCCUCUGUGGUGGAUAGUGGAGUGUUUCCCAUGUGGUAUUGGUGUGCUGGAUAUCCCUUCACUGGUAGCCUGGUAACAUACACUCCCAGGUCUUUCUCUGGCUCUGUGGUGGAUAGUGGAGUGUUUCCCAUGUGGUAUUGGUGUGCUGGAUAUCCCUUCACUGGUAGCCUGGUAACAUACACUCCCAGGUCUUUCUCUGCCUCUGUGGUGGAUAGUAGAGUGUUUCCCAUGUGGUAUUGGUGUGCUGGAUAUCCCUUCACUGGUAGCCUGGUAACAUACACUCCCAGGUCUUUCUCUGGCUCUGUGGUGGAUAGUGGAGUGUUUCCCAUGUGGUAUUGGUGUGGUGGAUAUCCCUUCACU